AGAGAAAUCAGUGGAGAAGAAAGCAGCCAAAGAAGAGGGCAUUAAAGCUGAGCCUGCAGUGUCAGACAGCUUUCUCAUGGAAGACGAGAUGCCCUACUUCCAGUGUUUCUUCGUGGACGAGGACGAGGCCCAGUUUCCCUUCUACGCCUUCUCGCCGAUGCAGAUCUGAGGCUUCAGUCUGACUCCGGUCUGAGGUUCACAGUGUUUCCUGAUAACGACAAGGUCACAUCCCACCCUGCGCUGCCGUUCCAUGUUAGAGCUCCAGGGAAAGAGCCUGGGCAGCAGAGGAUGAUCGGUGAUGGACCAUUUAUUUAUUUCCAGAUUUGGUUGAGCUCUCGCACCAAAUACAGCUAAUGUCAUUCCUCUCCAUUUAUUUGUUUUUGUUUUUAAUAUUUUUGAGAGGUGGAAUCAAAUGAAUCUUCUACACGGAAAACAACAUCAUGAAUCAACUUCUGUGGAUCGUUCGUUUAAAUCCUCAAAGCAACGUGUGCAAAUACCUUUAAUACAGUGACACUGAGUCA